rnacentral:rRNA from 1 species
ACGAACGCUGGCGGCAUGCCUCACACAUGCCAGUCGAACGAGACCUUCGGGUCUAGUGGCGCACGGGUGCGUAACGCGUGGGAACCUGCCCUUAGGUUCGGAAUAACUCCCCGAAAGGGGUGCUAAUACCGGAUAAUGUCUUCGGACCAAAGAUUUAUCGCCUUUGGAUGGGCCCGCGUUGGAUUAGCUAGUUGGUAGGGUAAAAGCCUACCAAGGCGACGAUCCAUAGCUGGUCUGAGAGGAUGAUCAGCCACACUGGGACUGAGACACGGCCCAGACUCCUACGGGAGGCAGCAGUGGGGAAUAUUGGACAAUGGGCGAAAGCCUGAUCCAGCAAUGCCGCGUGAGUGAUGAAGGCCUUAGGGUGGUAAAGCUCUUUUACCCGGGAUGAUAAUGACAGUACCGGGAGAAUAAGCUCCGGCUAACUCCGU